UGGGGAAUAUUGGGCAAUGGGCGCAAGCCUGACCCAGCAACGCCGCGUGAAGGAAGAAGGCUUUCGGGUUGUAAACUUCUUUUGUCGGGGACGAAACAAAUGACGGUACCCGACGAAUAAGCCACGGCUAACUACGUGCCAGCAGCCGCGGUAAUACGUAGGUGGCAAGCGUUAUCCGGAUUUACUGGGUGUAAAGGGCGUGUAGGCGGGAUUGCAAGUCAGAUGUGAAAACUGGGGGCUCAACCUCCAGCCUGCAUUUGAAACUGUAGUUCUUGAGUGCUGGAGAGGCAAUCGGAAUUCCGUGUGUGGCGGUGAAAUGCGUAGAUAUACGGAGGAACACCAGUGGCGAAGGCGGAUUGCUGGACAGUAACUGACGCUGAGGCGCGAAAGCGUGGGGAGCAAACAGG
rnacentral:rRNA from 1 species